GUCGGUGACGAUGACGGUGAGGUUCCACCUGUUCCCAUUCCGAACACAGUAGUUAAGCUCACUCGUGCCCAAGAUAGUUAGCUGGAAACGGCUUGUGAAAAUAGGUAGUUGCCGACU
rnacentral:rRNA from 1 species